AUCGCUCUGAAGCGGGGGUGGGGGGGAGAGGGUUUUGAUAUUUGAUAUGCGUCAGGCGUAGCUCAUAUAUCGCGUUUGAAAAUCGCACACCGAAAGGUUUUCGGGUAUCUCGAAGGGCCGUGGCAUGGAAAGCCCCGCUCUGCAGUUCCCAGGGGUCUUCAUCGCUGAGCCUUUGCCUCUGUAUAUACGGCGAAAGGGAUCCAGAGAGCACCGAGGCAGACGAAAGCCAGUUUAUCAAAAGAUCUAUCCAUUGCUCUCCGAUCUGAAGCUCGGGAACUUUCGUUUCUGUGCUUGGAAAAGCCGUUCGGACUUCCACGGGGACCCGUCCUUCGUUCUCCAGCGCUGGGUGAACGAAUCCUUAAUCUUGCAACCUUUUCGGUUCAAGUGGCCCGCUGCUGUCGGUUUCGACGGGAAGACUUUUCUUAAAGAGGCUCGUUAAAGUCAGCCAGUUCCGAUUUCAGAAAUACAAAGAAGGAAGUCGAUCGAUUGGGGCUUGGCAGCACCCAUCCUGUUUUUUAUGACAUUCAGCAAACUUGGAAGCCUUGCCUGCCCGUAAAUCCGAAGGAGAUACAAACAUACGCAGUUAUUAAAAACGUCGGCAUAACAGAACAGUAUCUGCCUUGUCCUCUAAUGAUGCGCAGAGGUCCCAGCGAGGCCAAGGAGUCGGGGGUCCUCACGUGAGCUGCCUGGCAAUGAGAGCCCCGGCGCGUCCCCCUCGCCGCGUGAUGGAUGACCUUCGCCUACCUGCCGGGUCUCUCUCUGGACAAACACGCAAGAGGGAUGGGAAAGAAGAGGCUCCUUUCUCCCGCCGGGCUGCCAGAAAUAGACGCAGCCGCCCGCUUCCCUCCCCUGCUGGAAUAUCUCUUGGGAAGUGAAAGCAGCUCUUUGUCAGCUCCAAAUCUGGAUGCAGAUGGACCUGGAAUGCCUGCCUACAGUAGAGUGAACGGGGUGUGAGCAGAGGAGCAACUGGCAGCACAUCAGCAAAAAAUGAGUCAGAAAAACUAUGCAGCGCUCAUUGAGAUCUCUGUUAUGAUGCUGGGCUAAAGAAGCAACUGAAAGCUAUCUUUUCUCUGUCUAAAGAGUGAAGUUGCUAUCUUUUCUGGCCUAUAGCUUUUCUCGGCUAUUCUAGUAUGGGAGUGGGUCCAGAAAAUGCGGAGUUGAUCUGGUGAUGUCAUGGCGUGAAGUACAGGUAGUCCUUGGUUAACAACAGUAAUUGGGAAUGGAAUUUCCAUCACUAAAUGAUGCG